rnacentral:rRNA from 1 species
GACGAACGCUGGCGGCGUGCCUAACACAUGCAAGUUGAGCGACGAACCAGGGCUUGCCCUGGGGCAAAGCAGCGAACGGGUGAGUAACACGUGGGUAACCUACCCCGAUAACCGGGACAACCCGAGGAAACUCGGGCUAAUACCGGAUGUGCUCACUGGACUUCGGUUCAGUGCGUAAAGGAAGCUUCGGCCUCCGUAUCGGGAGGGGCCCGCGGCCCAUUAGUUUGUUGGUGAGGUAACGGCUCACCAAGACCGCGAUGGGUAGCUGGUCUGAGAGGACGAUCAGCCACACUGGGACUGAGACACGGCCCAGACUCCUACGGGAGGCAGCAGUGGGGAAUCUUGCGCAAUGCGCGAAAGCGUGACGCAGCAACGCCGCGUGGGGGAAGAAGGCCUUCGGGUUGUAAACCCCUUUCAGGAGGGACGAAGGUUCGGCGGUGAAUAGCCGUCCGGACUGACGGUACCUCCACAAGAAGCCCCGGCCAACUACGU